rnacentral:rRNA from 1 species
GGAAUCUUCCACAAUGGACGAAAGUCUGAUGGAGCAACGCCGCGUGAGUGAAGAAGGUUUUCGGAUCGUAAAACUCUGUUGUUGGAGAAGAACACGUUUGAGAGUAACUGUUCAGACGUUGACGGUAUCCAACCAGAAAGCCACGGCUAACUACGUGCCAGCAGCCGCGGUAAUACGUAGGUGGCGAGCGUUGUUCGGAUUUAUUGGGCGUAAAGGGUCUGUAGGAGGUUCGUUAAAUGCGGGGUGAAAUCCGGGGGCUCAACUCCCGAACUGCCCUGUAGACUGAUGGACUAGGGUACUGGAGAGGUAAGCGGAAUACCAAGUGUAGCGGUGGAAUGCGUAGAUAUUUGGUAGAACACCGAGAGCGAAGGCAGCUUACUGGACUUUAACCGACUCUGAAAGACGAAAGCGUGGGGAGCAAACA